rnacentral:rRNA from 1 species
UUGGCACAGGAAGUCGAAGAAGGACGCGGCAAGCUGCGAUAAGCUCCGGGGAGGCGCAAACGGCCUUCGAUCCGGAGAUCUCCGAAUGGGGGAACCCAGCAGGGGUCAUGCCCUGCUACCCGCGCCUGAAUGAAAUAGGGCGCGAGGAGGCAACCCGGGGAACUGAAACAUCUAAGUACCCGGAGGAAGAGAAAUCAACCGAGAUUGCGGGAGUAGCGGCGAGCGAAACCGCACCAGCCCAAACCCAUGCACGUGCAAGCUUGAGGGCGUUGCUGCAUGAGGGGUUGUGGGACCGCGCAUUCCAUGGGCCUCAGACCAUGGACGCAGUUACAAAUCCGCGCGGAAGCGGAACGGCCUGGGAAGGCCGGCGGAACAGGGUGAGAGCCCCGUACGCGAAUCCGCGCGGACUGCGAGUGCGGCACCCGAGUAGCGCCGGGCACGUGAAACCCGGUGCGAACCUGGGGGGACCACCCUCCAAGGCUGAACACUCUCCUGUGACCGAUAGCGAACCAGUACCGUGAGGGAAAGGUGAAAAGCACCCCGAGAGGGGAGUGAAACAGUACCUGAAACCGUGCGCCUACAAGCAGUCGGAGCCCCCGAGCGGGGUGACGGCGUGCCUUUUGUAGAAUGAGCCAGCGAGUUGCGGUAUGCGGCGAGGUUAAGGUUUGAACCGAGCCGCAGUGAAAGCGAGCCUUUAAGAUGGCGAUAGAGUCGCAUGCUGCAGACGCGAAGCCGGGUGAGCUAUCCAUGGGCAGGCUGAAGCGGGGGUAAGACCCCGUGGAGGGCCGAACCCACUUCGGUUGAAAACGGAGGGGAUGACCCGUGGAUAGGGGUGAAAGGCCAAUCAAACCCGGAGAUAUCUCGUUCUCCCCGAAAUAGCUUUAGGGCUAGCCUCGGCCGUUCUCCGACGGCGGUAGAGCACUGGAUCGUCGAGGGGGCUUCACCGCCUACCGACACGAACCAAACUCCGAAUGCCGCCGGAUCAGAGGCCGGGAGUCAGAACAUGUGGGCUAAGCUGUGUGUUCGAGAGGGAAACAGCCCAGA